GCUUAUCACCAUUCCAGAUUGAAUAUACCCGAUACUCUCUGAUCUCUGAAGACAAGCAAUCAUCGGCUUGGUUAGUACUUGGAUGGGUGACCCCUUGGGAAUA
rnacentral:rRNA from 1 species